AGAGAGAGACAUGCGCGCAUAUCAAUAAGCGGAGGAAAAGAAACUAACAAGGAUUCCCCUAGUAACGGCGAGUGAAGCGGGAAGAGCUCAAAUUUGAAAUCUUAAAGGGUUUCCCUUUACGAAUUGUAGUUUAAAGAAGUGUUUUCUGUUGAGGUUUUGGUAAAAGUUCUUUGGAAUAGGACAUCAUAGAGGGUGAGAAUCCCGUAUUUGACCUUUACUUUCAACUUUGUGAUACACUUUCAAAGAGUCGGAUUGUUUGGGAAUGCAGUCCUAAAUGGGUGGUAAAUUUCAUCUAAAGCUAAAUAUUGGCGAGAGACCGAUAGCGAACAAGUACCGUGAGGGAAAGAUGAAAAGAACUUUGAAAAGAGAGUUAAACAGUACGUGAAAUUGUCAAAAGGGAAGCGUUUGACACCAGUGUUGUUUUUUCUGAAAAUCAAUUAAAGAACUGUUUAUGCUAAGUUGUUUAGACUUUAUCAGCUAACUGUUUAGUUUUGAGCUUUUCUUUAAUGCACUUUCCAGUUAACAAGUCAACAUCAAUUUCUUUUGCUGUAAAAAAGCUUGAGGAAGGUGGCUUGAGAUUCGUCUUAAGUGUUUAUAGCCUCUUGCCUAUGCAGUCGGAGAGAUUGAGGUCUGCAGCGUAGAUCCUUCGGGGCUAAAUGCAUUUGUGCUAAGUUAUAACAUUUUAUAGACAACUUGUUGACUAUGAUUUGUCUUGUAGCUUACUCGCUUAUGUUAUUUUACCUACGCUUAGGAUGUUGACGCAUGAGAUAUACGC
rnacentral:rRNA from 1 species